rnacentral:rRNA from 1 species
GACGAACGCUGGCGGCGUGCCUAAUACAUGCAAGUCGAGCGGACCUCUUCGGAGGUCAGCGGCGGACGGGUGAGUAACACGUGGGCAACCUGCCUGUAAGACUGGGAUAACUCCGGGAAACCGGAGCUAAUACCGGAUACUAUGUCAAACCGCAUGGUUUGACAUUCAAAGACGGUUUCGGCUGUCACUUACAGAUGGGCCCGCGGCGCAUUAGCUAGUUGGUGAGGUAAUGGCUCACCAAGGCGACGAUGCGUAGCCGACCUGAGAGGGUGAUCGGCCACACUGGGACUGAGACACGGCCCAGACUCCUACGGGAGGCAGCAGUAGGGAAUCUUCCGCAAUGGACGAAAGUCUGACGGAGCAACGCCGCGUGAGUGAUGAAGGUUUUCGGAUCGUAAAACUCUGUUGUCAGGGAAGAACAAGUGCCGGAGUAACUGCCGGCGCCUUGACGGUACCUGACCAGAAAGCCACGGCUAACUACGUGCCAGCCGCCGCCGUAAAAC